rnacentral:rRNA from 1 species
CAAUAGCGUAUAUUAAAGUUGUUGCAGUUAAAAAGCUCGUAGUUGGAUUUCUGGUUGAAGCGACCGGUCGGGCGUUGAUUCGUCUACACUGGAGUCGGUUUUGGCCAUCCUCUAGGAAAGUGCGUCUGGUAUUAAGUUAUCGGGCGUAUGAUCCUGGUCUUUUACUGUGAAAAAAUUAGAGUGUUUAAAGCAGGCCUUCGCCUUGAAUACAUUAGCAUGGAAUAAUAAGAUAGGACUUUGGUCUAUUUUGUUGGUUUGCAGACCGAAGUAAUGAUUAAUAGGGAUAGUUGGGGGUAUUUAUAUUCCGAUGUCAGAGGUGAAAUUCUUAGAUUUUCGGAAGAUAAACUUAUGCGAAAGCAUUUACCAAGGAUGUUUUCAUUA